CUCCAGUAUUCUUGCCUGGAGAAUCCCAUGGACAAAGGAUCCUUGUAGACUACAGUCCAUAGGGUCGCACAGAAUUGGACAUAACUGAAGUGACUUAACACGCACACACACAGGCAGAGCCAGAGGAGUUGCACUGUGAGGGCAGCCAGUAGUAAGUCCCUCCUCUCUCACUGUAGUUUCAAGAAUCUCCAGGGAGAAUCGGCCUUUGCAAUUGGGGCCAUAAAUGGCCAAAAAUGGCCUCGGAAUAUUGGGGCCAUAGAAGUCUCCUUGUUGGUAUAUAAAGUUCAGGGAGCCAUCUUGGUUCCUCUGACACUAGUAUAUCAUGAAAUUAUUAAUUUCCCUGCCCCUGUCAUUUGGCACUGCAAAAUAUCGCUCUUUCUAAAAGGAACAAACAUCUCUUCUUGCUCCAACAAGACAUCUGACUUGAUUCCCGAAAAACAAAGUCAAAGGAAAAGAAGAGAGAGAGGAGCCCCAUCAGAGUGUCAAGGGGCUGUAGUAUCAGAGUGGCAUUACGGAGCCACCUUCCAGUUUCGUCUUCUCAUCGUCUCUCCCGGGAGUCAUUUCAUCAGGGAGGCUCACAGCAGAGCACAGUCAUCCAAGGGGACCUGCCAUAAAGAGUGAAAAUGUGUGCAGUGCCCUGAAGUGGCCACGUGGUCUUGGAGGGGGUGAAUUACCUUCUGCUCUCCUGAAACUGCUGAUUUCACAGUGAAGAUUGCUGCCACAGUGACAGCUGUGGGUAGAAUGUAAAUCUAUUGCUGUCUCCGGCACUCCUCUUUCUUUUCCCCUGCCUGCUGGAAUCACCGUGGGGGUCUGGUGGUCCUCAGGUGGAACAUGGAGAGGCCAGAACAGAGCUGUUCAUGCUGAUAAGAGGCUAAUCCUAUGCCUUUGUCGAAAGAAGUCUAUUUAUAAAAUAGCAAACCCCAAACAAUAGUAAUUUUGUACUUCCAUCCAACAAUAUCCAAUAGAGAGGAAAAAGCUGGAAAAACCUGGAUUGGGCCCAGAGGUUAUUUGUUUUGCAGGCUUGGAAUAGAAGCCUGUAAAGCCUCCCCCUCUGUAAUAUUUCUCUGUACAUAAGAAAAAACACCCUGACUCUCCUCCCCUAAAGGGGAGAAAAAUAUUUUUCUCAAGGUUCUUAUUUGGCAGUAGAACUGGGGAACAGGUCAGAGAGAGGGAGAAGAUAAAUUUUUUUUUUCUCCUUUGGAGAUGGGAGUUUAUGAGACUGUAGAAUGUCUGUGUUUCCAUGCCUUUAAGGAGCUCCAGUUCUGUAACUUGGGCACCAUGUAAAAUUAAGCUAUUAUACAUCUUACAUCCUCUAACCUGCCAAGGUGCCCAAGGCAGAGGGCAGUGACAGUAUUGGGCUCUCCCAGAACCCCAGGGAAAUCCCCUGCCUUACCUUCCACAGGGAAGCAAACCAAGCCCUUUAUCCUCCAAUCAAAGGGAGAGGAAAUAGCUGAGGCCUCCCCUGAGGGUGAACUCUUCCCACUCUACCUCAAGCAAGAGACACUGAGAUGCCCCUUUUCUCUGGUUGGGACUGUGCUGCCAGAGGAGGCGAAAUGCCAAGAUGGAGAGGCCUCACUUUCUCUUCCUUGGGAGAAGGAUGUGGUGGCCCAGCUGCCAGGACAGGUGUGGCUCCCACAGCCGCCAGCAAACACUUGGGUCAUCCAUACUUUUUCUGAUUGGCCUUCUAGCCCAAACACAGCUCCAGGGUAUCUCUUACUUCUUGGGCUCUGAACUAACACAUUUUUUUACUUAGUUUUAUCACAGGUUGGAUGGGAAAAAGGAAUGAGACUGAAAGAAUGCUAAAACAUGCGGUCAGUUCUAAAGAUACAGAGCUGAGGAAAAAAAUGGAAGGAAAACAUGGACACACUCUAGGGUGCUUUGGGGAGGGCAGCUGGGUAGAUUAAAAAAAAAGUGGCCAGGAGGUAGCUCUGGGGGCUGGAAAAAGAGACUCUGAAACCAGUGAAGUGGGAAAGUCAGUAUGUGAGUGGAUGUUGGUCUGACAGCAGCUUGGGUUACCAUAACCCUUGUCAUGUCCCAGGAACAGCAUCCAUGCAUUUGCUGCUGCCCCCUUGCCAUAUCCUCUGUAACUCUGACAUUCUCCUUGGUUAUGUGGGGUUUGUGACGAGUCUCUGGUAGAAAGUGGGCAUGGGUAUAGGGCCAAGGACUGGGGUAAACACAAUGUUAUCCAUAUAUCAUAUUCACCAUGGCUGGAGACACAAUAGUUACAAGUGGUUGUUUUAUGAUGACCACAGUGUCGCUGUGUUCAAGUCUAGUUUAGAAUGCAGGUGCUGUUAUAUUAAUCAUGGAAGUGACAAGUUAAAGGGCUGUUAACACUGAGCUGCAUAAUGAACACUUGGUAUGAGUGAAUGAAGAGAAUGCUGAGUAGAAAUACAAGCUACCCAAGUUGGCAGGGCUUUAAUUGCCGAGGAGUCUGAGAGUUUGCACACGUGCGUGACUGAGAAGUGACUGUGAACUGGGACGUUACCAAAGAGAGUGAAGGAAGAAGCAUGGGCAGUGAAACAGUCCCGCGCGAGGAAGAACCUCAGCAUCCAUCAAAUGGAAGCAACACUUGAGUGAAAUCACGGUCUGUGACAGAGCACACAACAUCAAUCUAAACUGACCUCAGUGUCCAGGCUGCAGUGAGAAAUCGGGGAUGCAGGAAAAUAAAAGAUGCAGAGGGAAGGGCACAUGCCAAGAAGAUGGGCUGAAGAGCCCAGGGAAAGGGGAUUUUUUGCAAGACUCAACUGACAGACAAUCAUCUAUCUCUGUCAGAGGACCUUAUUUUCAGACAUGCCAGCUCAAGUUCCAGAUUGGUGACCCAGAGACUGCGGUGUGCUAGGAGAACUGUUGCUUCCACUCACAAUCUGCCGCGUUUGUGUUGACUUACAACGUGGCUGGGGACUCAACUGGACUGCAUACUAAAUGCCUGGUAGAAUUCCUAAAACCGCUGUUGGCCCAGAGAACCCUUUGUUAAUAAAUAUUACAGCACAAUCUGUGUUUAUUAAGGGAAGUGUGAUAGGGAAAGGAAACUAGCAGGAAAAGAAAAUAGAGUUUAAAAUGCCACGGUAGUUGCAAAAUAUUUAUUUUUAUGGAAGAGAGGUAAUCCAGAUGAUUUUCCUCUCAUUUUGAAAGACUAAACCCUAAGCUUCAAGCAUGUGGAGGCCAAGGACAGAUUUUUUUCAGGGCAACCACAAUUAGUUAAAGCAGCUUCUGUGUACACACACCAAGGGGCUAUGGGGUCAUGUCUACAUUAUAACCAGGGCCUCUCUGUAUGGUCAUCAUGACCCCCAACACACUUUAGCAGAUCAUCAAGUACAAACAGGCUCUUGGAUUUUCUCUAGACAAUCCUUAGCUUCCAUCAGUCCUCUUUUCUUCUAAAUGUAUGUGAGACGAGCUGAUUUUGAUGGGUAGAAGAGGCCUUGGGAAGAGCUCGGAAAAGAACAGGAUCAAAAUUCAGAUGAAGGAACAGAGGUACAGUUGCCACAAGCUAUUAUAGCAGCUGUUGAAGCAUCUUCCUGGAAUCCAGGAGGUCUUCCUCUUUUGUCCUCCUCUUUGGUUCUGAAUCUAAAUCAAGGAAUCAGCACUAUGUGGUUGAACCCUUGCUCUAGUUGGGUGGGACAGUUUUAGGCCAACCUUUGUCAUUUGCUUUUAUCUUUUCUUUUCAAAGGAAGGAGCAGAUACAAAUGGGCCUGACACACCAGCCUUGCCAGAUGGGCUGUGGCAGGAGGGCAAGGCCCCUGUUUAGCUCAAACAUGUACUCAAACACGUCUGGCGUGGCAUUUGGCACAGAAAGGACUCAAGAUAUAUUUCAUGCAUAAAGGAAGAAUUAAAGCCGGCCCAAGGGAAGUAAGUACCAUGCUAUGAUGGAACCUGUGGAGGAGUCUACCUGAGGACUCAAGUUCUGCCAACAUCCACAUGAAUGAACCUGAAAGUGGAUUCUCUUCCAGCUGAUGCUUGAGAUGACCGCAGCCUGAUGAGAGACCCUGGAGGACCCAGCUAAGACACACCUGGAUUCUUGACCCAUAUAAACUGUGAGAUAAUAAAUGCUUUGAACCUUUCCAAGUGUUGUGGUAAUUCAUUAUAUAAAGGUAGAUACCCAGUGCACUCGCCUUGAAAUAGCCUUCUUCCUCCUUCCCACUUAUCCAAGUCCCAACUCGUUCAAACCUUAGCUGUCCUAGGAAACUUUUCUCAUACCGAUUGUCCUUUCAUGAACUCCUGGAACACUGCAUGUGAAGUCGCAGCACUCACUGUUAGAUUGUACUUGCUAGUAUUUUUUUAAUCAUUUAUUCAUCUCUCUAGUUUUAAUUUCUAAUGAUGUC